rnacentral:rRNA from 1 species
UUCUGGCUCAGGAUGAACGCUAGCGGCAGGCUUAACACAUGCAAGUCGAGGGGCAUCGGGAGUAGCAAUACUUGCCGGCGACCGGCGCAAGGGUGCGUAACGCGUGAGCAACAUGCCCGUAUCAGGGGGAUAAUCCAUGGAAACGUGGUCUAAUACCCCAUAGUAAUUAUGUAAGGCAUCUUAUAUAAUUUAAAGCUUUGGUGGAUACGGAUUGGCUCGCGUGACAUUAGCUAGAUGGUAAGGUAACGGCUUACCAUGGCUACGAUGUCUAGGGGUUCUGAGAGGAAGGUCCCCCCACACUGGAACUGAGACACGGUCCAGACUCCUACGGGAGGCAGCAGUGAGGAAUAUUGGACAAUGGAUGGAAAUCUGAUCCAGCCAUGCCGCGUGCAGGAAAGACGGCCCUAUGGGUUGUAAACUGCUUUUGUAUGGGAGCAAUAAGGGCUACGCGUAGUCCGAUGAGAGUACCAUACGAAUAAGCACCGGCUAACUCCGUGCCAGCAGCCGC